rnacentral:lncRNA from 1 species
CAACCUGUCUUCUCUUUCUCCCUCUCUUCUCUCUCCUUCUCUUCUCCCCUCUCCUAUCUUCCUCUAUCUCUACUCCCAUCUCAACUCCUCUUCCCAUGCCCUAAAUAAACUCUUAUAUACUAUACCCAUAUAGAUGGUACCUCAGGGUGAGGGGUUAUCUCAGGCACCCCUCCUACUUCACCAUACCUGGCUCUACCAAACAUCCUGGCUCUUUUCAUAAAACACAACACACAGAAACAUACAGAGGAUCCUCAAGGCCACACCCACUCAUCCGAAGUUUGCUAGCACUCCGGAGGCCCCAGAAAAAGGAUAGUUUCUAGGCCAUUGGACUGGCGUUUUGGUAAGGUGUUUGAAAUAUCCUGCUGUUUGCAAAUGAAAACUAAUCACCUCCUCCAUUUCGAACGACGUUGCCUGCCCAUGAAUGAGGCAAGGAUUGAAUGAUUUGUAUAAGGAACUCAACGGUUUAAUGCAUUAGGGCGUGGAGAUUACAGCUACUGCAGAAUGGGUUGCAGGCGAAUGAAGCAACUCAGGGAGACACUCAGCAACAGGAGGAGUCCCACGGAGAAGAGACCCAAGCCACCCAAGGGAUCUGUGGCCAAGCUGAUUCCCAGGGAGCUUUUCUGAAGACCAGACCCCAAACACCACUGCACAGAUGCUGAAGACAGAGAAGGCUGCUCCCCUCUGCUCUCCACAACCCUGUGACCGGCUCACUGCCUGUUCCUGAGAGCCCAAGACUGAGGAAGAAUCAGGAAGGACAGGAAACUCUACAGUGUCGUUAGGAUC